CUGAGACUCAGUCAAAAAGACAGCUGCAAUAAAAUGAACCAGAUAGCAGAAAUAUGCCAAUUGUAAGAACAAGUCGAGCUGAAAGCCUGGUGCUGAGCCAACCUGUCAGCAGAGUGAAGAAGAAACCCGUCAACUGUCAAGGAGUGCAUCUCCCCAGGCAACACCAACUAUGCUCAGAGGUAGGCUCCACACACCAUAGAGCUCCGAAACAGCAGCUACGGAGUGAUUUCUGGUUCAGAUUCCAGCUCUAACUACUUCCUAGUGCUGUACGCCUGAUCAGGGGUUCAAAUCAUCUCUGAGCCUGUUUGCUUCCCUGAAUCUGUAAAAUGAGUAAAAUAGUCUCCUUGUCUGGGCCGCGCCCCCAGCUACUCAUUCAUAGGCAGGAGCCUCCACCGGUUGUUCUGUGGUAGCAAGCACUGGUGACUACUCUGCCUUGCAUACCAUCGGCCCCACCGAUGUCUGACCCAGAAGAAAGGAGAGAAGUGAGUCUUCAGAUGAUGUCUACACUUUUAAGCCUGCAGAAGGAAAGGACCCAUUACGGUCAUGGAUGCAGAACGCACAUUGCAAGCAGCGAUUAGUGUGCUUCCCAGCAACGCACCUCCAUCCAUCACAUCGGAUUAAGAUUGCUAAUUAAA